AUGGGAUACAGAACGCUCUGGGAGAGCUCAUCAGAGGCAACAAGCACUAAGGUUUAUUUUGAGGAAAGUGUUUUCUCAUCUGUAAAUAAGAACUACUUCUACUUCUACUCUUGGAAGUCAACACAUCCCUCCACUGUUGGUGACAGGGACCAGGCUGCUUGCAAUAUGUCCACAAUGAAAGGAACAGCUCUGGGAAGUCCUAGCAUCUGGUUCCUUUGAGGUUUGGGUUCUUGGCCCAGCAUGCUGGUGAAAGAGGUGGUGAAGGUCUCUCACGUUGCUUGGAGGUUAGAACUUUUAUGGCCCUAAAGAGAAUUUCACUCAAAGAAAAGCCCAUUAGUUCUUGCCAAUGAGCCUAGGACUAUCUCAUCUGGAAAUUUCAUAAGGCCAUAGAUUGAGACUUGGAAGGAACUUUAGAAACCAUCUCGUUCAACCUGAUUAUUUUAUUGAUGAAUCUGAUGAAUCAAUCAUAUUGCUGAAUCAUAUAGAGGUUAAGGAAUUUGCUUAAAUCACAGAGGUAGUAAAUAACAGAGGCAAUCAAUUGAGAGACAGCUAUACUAAACUUGGAGUCAGAAAAGACCCAGAUCCAAAUCCCCACUCUGAUACUUACUAGGUGUAUGUGAAUCUGGGGGAACCAGAAGUUUCUGGCUCAGUUUCUUCAUUUGCAAGGUAGGAUAAUAAUACACAUGGGAUGUAUUUCAAGGAUUGUUUUGAGACUCAAACAAACAAAUAUAUAUUAAAAUUAUAUAUAAUGAAUACUAAUAACUAAUAUAUUAUUAAUUUUGAUGUAUUUUGAAGAUUGAAGAACUGAUUUACAAGAUAUCUAAACAUGAGGAUGUUGAAAAAAUCUUGGAUCUUCUCAAUAUGGGGGGGGAAGAUAAAAAGAACAUCAACUAUUACAAUUAAUCCAUCAUCUACUAAUAACUACUUUACCAUUUACAUGAAGGUCAUGUCUACAUGAAUUGAGAGUGUUUUUGAUGAGGAAUUUAAUAGAAAAAAAGUAAGAUUUUGUAAAAGUUAUUUAACAGUGGAUUGUAUCUUUGCCAGCUCACAAUUGACUAAAGGACAUGAAGUAUAAGAUCCUGUUGUGCUUGUUGCUUGUUAAUUGAAAAUGCAUUUGAGUAGAUAGAAUGAAACACCACUUUAAAGACAUUUUUAUAGGUGUCUCUCAUUCAUAUAUGAAGAUCAUUCAAGAUAUCUUUGAAGAUGUAACAUCAUAAAUAACUCUGUUCAGUGGUCCUCUGAUAAUUAGCUUCAGACAAAGCACAAAAUAGGAAACCAUAAGCUUACAAAAGCAUUUUCUACUCUGAUAGAGGAGAUCAAACAUAGAGUCUAGGUAAAGGAGAGAUUCUCUGAGAAUGGUAAAGACCUCCAGAUGUUCCUGAUUGUGGAUAACAUUGUAUUGAUUGCAUUAAUCUCCAGGGUACUUGAGCCUUCUGGAUCUCAAAAAAGUUUGACCCAUCCAUCCACUCAGAAAAGACCAAAUUAAUGAGGAAUUUCUAUUGCCUAGAUUUCAACAUG
rnacentral:lncRNA from 1 species